rnacentral:piRNA from 1 species
UCUCUUGGUGAAGCGGGAAUCUGUAAGGA